rnacentral:rRNA from 1 species
AUUGAACGCUGGCGGCAUGCCUUACACAUGCAAGUCGAACGGCAGCACGGGAGCAAUCCUGGUGGCGAGUGGCGAACGGGUGAGUAAUGUAUCGGAACGUACCUUUCAGUGGGGGAUAACGUAGCGAAAGUUACGCUAAUACCGCAUAUUCUGUGAGCAGGAAAGCAGGGGAUCGCAAGACCUUGCGCUGAUUGAGCGGCCGAUAUCAGAUUAGCUAGUUGGUGAGGUAAAGGCUCACCAAGGCGACGAUCUGUAGCGGGUCUGAGAGGAUGAUCCGCCACACUGGAACUGAGACACGGUCCAGACUCCUACGGGAGGCAGCAGUGGGGAAUUUUGGACAAUGGGCGCAAGCCUGAUCCAGCCAUGCCGCGUGAGUGAAGAAGGCCUGGUUGUAA